CUUCACCUCAAGAAAACCACCGCCAGGAAGCCUCGUCGCCCUCGCCGGUGAACGAUCAUCCGGAUCACCUGCCUCCGUCAUGCUUGAUGAGGAAGUCCCCGAUCUCGAAUCUGAGGGCCGUGGGAUCUCCGGGGGAGGGCCGAUGAUGUAGGUGGGUUCGAGGAAUGUGGGUUAGGGUUGGAUGCGAGGAUGAUGGGUGUUACUCAUGGUUUGUGUUAUUGUGAGUAGUUGCCAUCCCCAACUUUUCAGAUGUAUCUAUUGUGAUGGCGUGGCAUGAGACGCAGAGAUUAGAUCUAUCGUUUGGGAAUUUGUCAUGACAAGGUAUGAUCACAAAUCAACGAGAUUCGUUUCUUCGGAAGCUCCAACUUUGCUCUAUUAAUCACUGCUAAGGACAUCUGCUACAAGUUCAUUCUAGCCAAUCCAAAGACUCAGUGUCCUAAAUAGAGUUAUAACGAGGUCUAUGAGAAACUCAGGAUAUCUGAAGUCAGACUUUGGAAGUAAUGCAGUCUAUGCUGGAUGGUGAUUCCUAUUUCCACUCCUUACAGAGAUACUUGGAAUAAGAUGAGUAAUGUCUGCCUUUUGUAUUUCCCUUGAUGAUUUGUACAAUGAUACCAAUAUCUCUUUUUGAUUUUCACAAGUAUAUAAAAGCUUUAUUGUUCAUAUGAGAUAGACAAAUAAUGAGGGAAAAUUUACUGAUGCUCUAAUUUCUGCUGAUAAAUCAAUAAUAGCUGUUGGAAUUUUCUUUUGCUACUUCUCUUAUCAACAUCUUUAAUAUAAUACUGAACCUUCACAUGAUGUUCCUUUGAUUCCUUUCUAUGUGUCCUUUAUUCCCUAAUUUUGAUUAUUCUGCAUAUUUUUAACAUUUUAGUCCACGAAAUGCUCUUAGGUUAGAAGACCAUGCAACUGACAUGAUUUUGCCUUCAUACCAUUUACCACCUGUUAUAGCCCCUUUUAUGCUUCAAGCAAGUAAUGGAUUUGUUACACUGAAAAUGUUCUUGACUGUUUCUAUUGGCAAAACUUGAUUAGAAUCCUGCCUCACAUUUGCUCUUUUGGUCCUUUAUUUAAUGUUUGUUUUCUUUCAUUUUUAGUGUCAUAAAUAUUGCUUUGCUGUUUGUAUAAAAGGUUUGUGCUGCUCUAUCUAUGCCUUUGUUUUGUUUUGAACUAUUGUUCUUGAUCUCCUCUCUUGUAUAUGUUAUGCCUCAAUUGAACAUGUUGAAAUUUUAUCUUUUAGUGGAAAGCUACGACUAGUUAAUUUUUGUUCCGCACCAAAAUGAUUGUCCUUUUGUUUUCCCCACAUAUGGAGAUGGUUGUAAAAAAUUAGUAAGCUGUGGUGGAGAAAUAAACUGGGUUUUUAGAAAUGUCUUUGAGGUAAGUUACAUUCACAAGUCGAGAUGUCUAGAAGUUCAGUGUAUAGCAUAUCACUUGGUAAAUUUUGCCUAGCAUCCGGACUACCUGUUGCUUUCUAAGCACCCCCAAGGAGGCCUUUCCUGACGUCAGGAACUCGGGAAAUAAGGUUGGUGUGCACUCCUUUAACCACCACAAGUAAGGCCUCUCAGUUGCUUCUGGCAAUGUCUAGGCAGGUUAAAGAGUCAGUCAGGCCCAAGUUUUAGUUUGCUAUAAUAUUAUCGAUUGCUUCCUGAUCCUGUUGAUCAGCAUUAUAGUUGGUACCAUUGGUGUAACACAUUUUCCAUUGCUAACCACAUCAGUUAUUGCUUGUUUAAUUUCUUGAGGUUGAUCCUGUCUUUGGUUGAGGAGUCAUUUGAUGCAGAAUGUAACUUGCCUGGUCCUAGUGAUACUGCUUUUCAAAACUGAUAGGUUGGCUUAAUGAUGCAACUACUUUUGCCCCCGUAAGAACCUUAACAUGAUUCCGUCUCAAGUUGAGGGGCCAUUUGACAGAGAAGCUUGGGAUGCAAAAAUCAAUCUUGCACUAUUGUGUCACAGUUCAUAUGGGGUUCUGAGUUGAACAAUUGAGAGGUACGUUCGUGAAGGGACAGUGUAACCUUUCUUAGCUGGAUUUUUGACAAAGGGUUCUUGUGCACGAAAUGAGCAGUUAUUAACAUUAAUUGUGAUAGCUUAUGUCAAACUGAUCUUCUAGGUUGAGAAGUGUAAGUUUGAGUUGAUGGUAAAUGAUGAGACCAUUAAGUUUUGGCAAUCAUCAAAUUAUCUAUAUUCUUUUGUUAUGUCGUCCUUCAAUCAUGGUGCUUGGUGGUCGCACCGGUAAGGUUUGUUUGUUUAAUAUGGGCCAAGACCAUGAUGAGGUUAUUAGGAUUGCAAACGAGUGAAGUUUGGUAGGAGAAUGCGAGUUUUUAGCCAAGCUUGAUGUCUGAAAUCGGCUUUGAUUUCAGGGAAGUUCAAGUUAAGUUUAGGCCUAGCUCAACAAGAGUGUGUUUAAACUUUUUUGACUUAUCAAAUAAGUGGAGCUGGAGCUUAUAUAUGAAAUGACACAAGUUCGGACUGUGUAAAGAUCUAGUUAUUAUUUAAACCAAAAAAAGUUACCAAAAUUUAACUAAUUUAAUCUGGGUAAAUUUAUAUUAUUUAAUGGGAAAUAAACACAAAUGUAAAAAUAACUAAUACAUAGGAUCCAUAAUCUACUGUAAUAUAAAAAGAUGAUCUGUCAUGCACUCUCAUCAAAUCUUCCUUUAUAGUUUCAACAUAAUUUAUAUUGAUUGAUAUCUCACUUUUAAAGAUUCACAAAAAAUAAAUAUGAGCCUGAUCCACUUGUACAAAAAAAAAAAAAAGUUUUAAAUUAUUUAAUCAAUAGUAAUGACAUGUCUAGGUUGAUACCCACCAUAUACAAGUGUCUUUUGAGUUUAUAAAGCAUUUUAAUGGCAGUUCUAUCAAUAUGCCAACCGUUUAUGAUAUUAUAAAUCAGUAUAUACUAAACCUUCAUGAUUGGUUAUGCAUUGAGGAUUUGAGACUAUCCAGAGAAUUUAUUGAAGAUAUCAGAUAGGUUACCUGGUAAAGUUCUUAAUUGUUGAUAGUAAGAUCCCAGGAUCUGAUGCUGUAAAAACAAACGAGCGUAUGCUGGCAAGCCUAGAAACAAUCUUUUCUGGUGAGUUUAUUAAACAUGCUUAUUCAUGUGAGUAUUAGCCAAUUAGUUUGGCUACGUUUUCUGAUGACAAUGUCAUGUGGAAGCUGGGCUCAUCUGAAAAUGAAGCUUUGAGAGAUGGAUUCGAAUAUGAUUCAUAAAUAUUUAUGAAGGAGCUGGAGAGAUUUAACUAGUCUAAUAUCAAGGUGUUCGUGAAUGGUUUGACUAAUAAUGAAUUAUCCAAUAAUAUGAACUUGGUAUUUUGGGCUUGUAAGUCGAGUGUUCUUAAAACUACAUAUGUAUGGUGGAACUAAAAUUUCAUCAUGAGAUUGGAACGAGACAUGAUAAAACAAGGGUUGAAAUCGUGUUAGACAAAAGGUGUAACUUUAGGUAGCAGCAGGAGCUAAAACUUUUUCUUUCAAAGAGUCGGAAGAAUAUUAGGAGACAAAACGAGACUCGAAUGAAUGAAUGUAAUGCGGAAAGCCAGAAGGAAACUAUAAAUUUUAUUGUACUUAGUUUUGCAUAUAGAAAUCGGUGGGAAGGAAGUAGGAUGCAUGUAGAGCCCCUUGUGAAGUUGAUUGGACCUACCUGCCUUUAGGUAUACGAUUGUAUUCCCAGCGCUCCCCAUUGCCUGUCAUUUUUGGUGCCAAACGAACCCAGGGAGUGCCUUCCAUGCGUACUGAAAACGACCCUCCAACCACAUCUACUUCUUGGAUUCUUUGGUGGAUUUGCAGCCCAAUCCCUCAAAUUAAUUGGAGGAAUGUUUUUUUUUUUAAUGUUUAUCCGUUAGUUGUUACUUCUUUGAGAGGACAGUGUGGUAGUCACUGCCUUUUUUUCCUUUCCUUUUCUCCUAAUGGUUGAGCAAAGCCUUAGCUGGCCCUGCUUUCCUCCUUUUUCUCCUAAUGGGUGAGCAAAGCCUUAGCUGGCCCUGCAACCUUAGGAUGGCGAGUGGUACUAUAAAGUAGUACUCCAAUUAUAAGUAUGCGUGUGGUGGUGGUGGUCGUGGGUGUAGGGGGGUGUCAUUAGAUUGAAUUUUUGUUUCUUUCAAGUAUUAUUUAUUUUUUACCGUCCACAAAUGGAGGAGAUCAAGGCAUCAGAUAUGGUGACCCGGAAGAAAAUGAAAAAGAGAUAGAACCAUAAGCCUAAAUCCACAGAUAAAAGUCAAGUUAUAUAUAUAUAUAUAUAUAUAUAAGGCAGAACACAUGAUUCUCUGCACCAUAUGCUGGCCCUUGCGUUAGAGAUAUGUGUUUAAGGUAUUAGUGCUGGGAAUGUGAGAUCAGUUUGAUAGUUAAUAUAAAUUUUGAUUCUUAGGACAACACAGCCCCACUAAUGAACGGACAUCAUUUAUGCAGAGACCUUGGCCCAUAUGAUCUGAUGAUUCUGUUCUGAUCAUCCUGUUGUUUAAUACUCCAAUUAUCAAAAGAUAAGGUAGCCAGAAAGGGAGAAAUGCUGUAUGUUCAAAUAUUUGGGAGCUUGUACAUGGACGAUAAACAAUUGAAGAAAUUUGGGGUGGGGGGACAGGAGCAUCAGGGCAAUGUCAUAUCUAUCUGAAAGCCACCACAGUAUGGAAAUGAGAUGUCUGUACUCAAGCAGUGUUUUCACCCAGCAAAAAGCAUGCAGCUUUUGCUCUUGCUCUUACUCAUCCACCCACCCCCUCCCCUCCCCUCUAGGAGAAAAGAUAAUAAGAAAAGAGAGACAGAGAGAGAAGAUAGAAAGGCUACAGCGUAUUCUUGGCCGUAAAGUUCGGGUGUGACAUAGAAUCCAGCUGACACCCACAUGGGAGGUUGGCUCGGCUUCCCUUCCUUCCCCCCUCCCUGAUUGCACUUCCUCACCUUUUGUAGUUAAUGUUGUGCCCUGGCGAAGGCCCUUCGAUGGGAUACCAACUGGAAGUGUUCCAGGGAAUCAAGAGAAUUGAACUAUUCACAGUCAGACACAUGAACUCCUCUCUUUCAACUUCAAAAAUCCUUGUUUGGUUGACUUGACUGCCGAAGAGAGUGUGGCUUGUAUAAGUUUUUCUUCGGCAGAGUAAUUGUCCCAACAGGUGACGCUGCGGGGAGGAAGAGACCAUAAGCCUGGAUUUGUAUGAGUAAAAUGAGAGGGACCAGAAAGGUGGGGAUGGGAUCACCUGGACAGAGUGUUCUAGGAACAAGCAUACGAUAUUUUAAAUCCUGAAAUAUAGUUGUUUUGCGUUUGAUCAUGAGUUUAAAUUGGUCAGGUUGGUCUUUGUAAUCUUCUGCACCAACUAUCUUAUAUGUGCACAGGAAGUGGUCCUUCUUCAGGGUUUGGAUGAAUGAGCGACAGUGGUAUACUCUGUCCAGUAUUUCUCGACGAGAUCUAGCAUAGUGCAGCUUCUCUUGGCAUUUACUCUUGUGAUCGCAAAGCUUACUGCAGCUCAGAGAGGUGUUGUCAAGGACAGUGACCGACAUUGUCACAUGGUGCUGAAUCAGUGGAGAGGCUUUGGUGGGGUCUGGGAGAAGUAAUUUAAUCAUAGCAUCUUGGAACAGUAUGCGAUAUAUAUAUAUCUCUCCACUACCUUCUUGAUUAAUUAUGAUUUGAUAUGAAACUCUGACUGGAAAAAGAAUCAUGGAGCCACCAGUCCAUGCGUUGCCGCAGGACUAGGAGGAGGGAGGAGUUUACUCGAAGGACAUUGAAACUUCUUAUUCUUAUCUCUCUCAUUAAGGGGGAAAAAGAAAGAAGAAAAAAAAAAAAAAGGAAGGGGAAAGAAAGAAGAAGGGAACGAACAAAAGGGCAGUAACUAUGUUGAUGGUAAAAAUUGAUGCGAGAACAGUGAAGAGAGAGAGAGAGAGAGAGCCCAAUCAUGCAGGCAAUUUGGUUGUGUCCUUGUGGUGGGCCUUGUUAUCUAGCUUUUUUAUUUUCUUAGUCCUGUCCCUGACAUUGUCUGCGCAAGUGAUAAAUGAAUGCUGUCAUUAGUUGUGAGCCCACCAUGACAGCUAUCUCUCCCCAUAAGGUAGAUUGACAGAGAGGGACGGAAACGGCUUAUGUGAUCUGUGUGUGCGUAUUUGAUCUCAUGGAUAAAUACUGGAAGCAUGAUCACUACUUCCUAUGUCUCUGAAGAAUACCCAGAGACGUCAUUCCAGUAAGAAAAAGGUGCCCUGUGUUCAUGCCCACGGGCAUGAAGCUGCAGCUGCUCCUUUAUUGCUUGCCUCAUCUCAACCUAGGUAAAAAACCUCAGUAGCCUGCCCCUGAGCAAGACAGAUAAAUGACACUCGAGGGACAUUCUUGAACACAGUCUGCUUAGUAGAUUGUCAAUCCUGUAACACACUAAUGUUUGGUAGCAACGCAAUCAUAGAUCUUUAACUGGGUCUAUUUUGCCUGUAAUUUUCCUUGUGUGUGUCAUGCGCCUGCUCAAAGUCAUCCUGUUGUUAUUAUUAUGUUUUGAGACCCACCUAAUAGGACUAACCAACCACCCCCAGAAGAUCAUGGUUCUUCAUCAUCCUCUUGCCUAAUCACUUAUUUAUUUUCCCCUGACGUAGUGACAUAUGCAUUGCUUGAUGAAGUAUUGUUCAUAGUUGAGGACAAAUUUAUAUAGCAACGUGGGAUGUUGACAUCAAGGCAAUGUCUAGGAGAACAUGAUAUUAUACCAUUGGAACCUUUUUCAUUAAUUAGAGUAGACCCGUUUGUAUAUGGCUUUUUUUUUCAUCUUCGAAAUGUAUGAUGAGACCGGUAGUAUGAACUUUGUAUCGAAUUAUUUUUUGGGGGAAAGCUGACUUUGAAUGCAGCAAUUGGUCAGCGAGUCCAGUUGGUAUAAUCACAAAUCCAAGUUAUGAAGUUGCAUACCUGUGAUUUAUCCAGUUCAAUAAGGUGAGAAUUUGGCAUGUAGCAUCAAAUGAUUGAGCUCAAUAAAAAAAUAAUAAGUGCUCCUGAAGAAAAAAUCUCCUCAGUGUACAAUGAUCAAGUCAAUCUACAGAGCCGAGGGAGCUGACUGUUCUUAGCAUAGUCUCUAACAUAAAGACGCUUGAAACUAAAUGGGCAGUAGAUGGAAUUUUCGGAGGGUUUGAUAGCUAGAUAGCUAGAUUGAUGUGAUUCAGUGUGGAAGUUUGGCUAUUCUUGGAUUAGAGGAAUGAUUUCUUAUAGAUAAAUAUAUUGUCGAUGCAAUUUUGAGAAUACAUCUUUCAGUUUGAUGGGAAGCAUAAUAUGAUGGGCUGAAGGAACAAUAAAACCCAGGGACUUGUUAUUAUGAUAUUUCUUAAUAAUGCAUUUCUACUGAUCCACUGGAACCAUUUUUUUUAGCUUGGAAAAAAGAAGCUUGAUGGUCGAACAAGUCUAGUAAAAGAAGAAAAUGUUCAAAUAGGAACUUUGAUUUGCUCCUUUAUGUUUUUAUUUUAUUAUUAUUCAUGUAAUUUCAGUAACUAUAUGACCUACUUUUGAUUUCCAUCUGAUCAUCUAUUCUGUGGUAGACUAAAUUUCUUUUGUCCAAUAAUUCUGCCUUUUGUCUCUUCUUUGUUUGUUUUUGCAUGUUCGUUCAGCACUUCACACAAUUGCUCCUCUGUUUCAUGGUUUACAGGAGAGAGAGAGAGAGAGAGAGAUGGUGGUAAUUAUCUCUGGCAUGACAAGGACGCAAGGGUUUGAUAAAAAGGAGUGUCUUAGGUACUUCCAGAAAGAGCACAGCCACCAAGUCAUCAGUAAUAGCAACAUUUGGUCUUCAAAAGCGAGGCUGGGUUUUCUACUCGCUCUGCGUCUCUAUCAACCACUUUAACCUCAGAUGUGGUUGGUGCAUGCCAACCAUUUACACCCGUGCCUCACCUUUGCGAAAGCCUUCCAAAUCAAUGCCAUCCAUCCAUCC